rnacentral:rRNA from 1 species
GACGAACGCUGGCGGCGUGCCUAAUACAUGCAAGUCGAGCGGAAUGAUGAAGAAGCUUGCUUCUUCUGAUUUUAGCGGCGGACGGGUGAGUAACACGUGGGCAACCUACCUUGUAGAUUGGGAUAACCCCGGGAAACCGGGGCUAAUACCGAAUAAUCCAUUUUGCUUCAUGGCGAGAUGUUGAAAGACGGUUUCGGCUGUCACUACAAGAUGGGCCCGCGGCGCAUUAGCUAGUUGGUAGGGUAAUGGCCUACCAAGGCGACGAUGCGUAGCCGACCUGAGAGGGUGAUCGGCACACUGGGACUGAGACACGGCCCAGACUCCUACGGGAGGCAGCAGUAGGGAAUCUUCCACAAUGGACGAAAGUCUGAUGGAGCAACGCCGCGUGAGUGAAGAAGGUUUUCGGAUCGUAAAACUCUGUUGUAAGGGAAGAACACGUACGAGAGUAACUGCUCGUACCUUGACGGUACCUUAUUAGAAAGCCACGGCUAACUACGUG